CCUACGGGUGGCAGCAGUGGGGGUAUUUCACAAUUGGGGGAACCCUGAUUCAGCGACGCCGCGUGGGUGAAGGGGUUCUUCGGCAUGUAAAGCCCCAACCGCAGGGGAGAAGCCAGGACGUUCCUGGCCAAGAAACCCCCGGUAACUACCUGCCAGCAGCCGCGGGAAUACGUAGGGGGCGAGCGUUAUCCGGAGUUACUGGGUGGAAAGGGAGCGUAGACGGCCAAGCAAGCCAGGGGUGAAAGCCCGGGGCCCAACCCCGGGACUGCCCUUGGAACUGCAUGGCUGGAGUGCGGGAGGGGCAGGCGGAAUUCCUGGUGUAGCGGUAAAAUGCGUAGAUAUCAGGAGGAACACCGGCGGCGAAGGCGGCCUGCUGGACCGCGACUGACGUUGAGGCUCGAAAGCGUGGGGAGCGAACAGGAUUAGAUACCCCUGUAGUC
rnacentral:rRNA from 1 species